GAAAUGCGAUAAGUAAUGUGAAUUGCAGAAUUCCGUGAAUCAUCGAAUCUUUGAACGCACAUUGCGCCCUCUGGUAUUCCGGGGGGCAUGCCUGUCCGAGCGUCAUUGCACACCCUCAAGCGCGGCUUGUGUGUUGGGCCCUCGCGUCCUUGCCUCUUAAAAGGACGGGCCCGAAAGGCAGUGGCGGCGUCGCGGUUAUCCGAUCAGCCAGAGCGUAUGGGGACUUUCUCUCUGUCACACGCCCGCGGCGCGGACCGACGCCUGUCGACCUUCAUUCAUCGUUUUCUCGGUUGACCUCGGAUCAGGUAGGGAUACCCGCUGAACUUAAGC
rnacentral:misc_RNA from 1 species